UUCUUCUUGAUUUAUUUUUAAAAGAAAAAUAGCUUAUUCUUCAAUCCCUGUGGACCGACACCCGUAAUCACUAUCCUACAGGAUACAUGCUAUUGCGUGGUUUAUUUUGAAAUUGAAAUAACCGAUCAUGAGUUAAGAGUUUGGAAGCUAACUUUAUAAUCCUCGGAGAGUAAAGGUUUUAGUUAGAAUUUUGUACUCGAAUUUCUAUUUGUUUUAGGGACCUUUUAAAAUAAACACCUCCCACUAUUUUUUCGAAUCUCUCACACUCCUCAGGUAGAGAAACGGAAACCUUACGACUCUAGGUUUCAAGUGGGGUGCUACGGUCCCACCAAUUUACAUGCCACCUCACCUAACAGUUAUUGAUGACACAUAAACGAUGAGUGUACAACUCUUGUACAAUGCUUCUCAAGCAAAUUGUAGCGCUAUCCGGUCUCUAAGUAAUGAAGACCUCACCUAACAGUUAUUGGCCCAAUUAACUUUAGUUAAGUCGGACCCACCGUAUAACCGCAGAAGCAAAGUCGUC
rnacentral:lncRNA from 1 species